rnacentral:snRNA from 1 species
UUUCUCUGGCGAUAUGCAUC